rnacentral:tRNA from 1 species
AGUGUGGCUCAACGGUAGAGCAAUUGCCUUGUAAGCAAUAGGGUGUAGGUUCGAAUCCUAUCACU